rnacentral:rRNA from 1 species
GAUGAACGCUGGCGGCGUGCUUAACACAUGCAAGUCGAACGGAAAGGCCGAAGCUUGCUUCGGUACUCGAGUGGCGAACGGGUGAGUAACACGUGGGUGAUCUGCCCUGUACUUCGGGAUAAGCUUGGGAAACUGGGUCUAAUACCGGAUAUGACAAUCUCUUGGAUGGGGUUGUGGAAAGCUUUUGCGGUAUGGGAUGAGCUCGCGGCCUAUCAGCUUGUUGGUGGGGUAAUGGCCUACCAAGGCGUCGACGGGUAGCCGGCCUGAGAGGGUGUACGGCCACAUUGGGACUGAGAUACGGCCCAGACUCCUACGGGAGGCAGCAGUGGGGAAUAUUGCACAAUGGGCGCAAGCCUGAUGCAGCGACGCCGCGUGGGGGAUGACGGCCUUCGGGUUGUAAACUCCUUUCGCAACCGACGAAGCUUUUGUGACGGUAGGUUGAGAAGAAGCACCGGCUAACUACGUGC